rnacentral:rRNA from 1 species
UACGGAGGGUGCAAGCGUUAAUCGGAAUUACUGGGCGUAAAGCGCGCGUAGGUGGCUACUUAAGCUAGAUGUGAAAUCCCCGGGCUUAACCUGGGACGUGCAUUUAGAACUGGGUGGCUAGAGUGCAGGAGAGGGUAGUGGAAUUUCAGGUGUAGCGGUGAAAUGCGUAGAGAUCUGAAGGAACACCAGUGGCGAAGGCGACUACCUGGUCUGACACUGACACUGAGGUGCGAAAGCGUGGGGAUCAAACAGG